GUGGUGGGCGGAACCAAAACUCUUCCCAAAUGUCCUGGGAUCCUAAACGUUUGAAGGUUUGUCUGUGUGCAGCUCGUUGUGUUUCACAACCCGGCGGGCAUGAGGCACCUGAAGUUCGUUCCUCUAGCGGCAUAAAUUUGAGGAAGACCUUCAUGUCAGUUUCGGCACGUGCCCCUGGAACGAUCUCCACAUCCCUGAAAACAUGUUGUCUGCAGCCGAAGCAUCGGCUACUCUUCUUGGGAUUCCUGUAAAUCAAACUGCGAGGACAAAACUUUCCCAGACAAUCAAGCCGCGGGUCUGAUAUCCACUGUCCCAGCCGACAGCUCGAGCUGAUGAAAGGCGAUCUGGUUUGAUCUCCACUGAUCCACUGAGACAAUCACAACUGACAGUUGGUUGAUGAAAGCCUUUCUGAAGGCGACUGUGUGUUGGGAAAUGAACACACAGGCAUGGUUCUGUGAGUGGUUUUCUGUGAACAGGCAUCUCUCAACACCAGGGCCUUACUGCCACAUGGCCGUACCUUCUGGGUCGGGCUUUGACAGGAGCAGUCCUAACACACACACACACACACACUCUACGCUCAUGAAAGCACCUAUACAGGCAUUGAAAACAACACAUUUGAUGCAGGACUGCACCUGUACAUUAUUUAUCUAAGUGGUGAAGGGUCCCUGCAGGACGAAGCUUGUGUGGGAUUAGGACUAACACGCCAUCCCCAAGGAACUGUCUUAGAAACCUUUCCAUGCAGACUUUAUGCACCGUUUGGCAUGUAGUGUGAUUAGGAACGGCGCUGUAUGCAUCUGUUGAAUGGUGUUUAGGAUCUCAAAUAUCAGAGAUCUCCACGCUGUCAA